rnacentral:rRNA from 1 species
CAGUAGCCACGGUAAUACGGAGGAUCCAAGCGUUAUCCGGAAUCAUUGGGUUUAAAGGGUCCGUAGGCGGUCUUGUAAGUCAGUGGUGAAAGCCCAUCGCUCAACGGUGGAACGGCCAUUGAUACUGCAGGACUUGAAUUAUUGGGAAGUAACUAGAAUAUGUAGUGUAGCGGUGAAAUGCUUAGAGAUUACAUGGAAUACCAAUUGCGAAGGCAGGUUAAUACCAAUUGAUUGACGCUGAUGGACGAAAGCGUGGGUAGCGAACAGGAUUAGAUACCCCAGUAGUCCCUGUCUCUUAUAA